rnacentral:lncRNA from 1 species
CGAUUUUGUGGGGGGGAGGGGAAUAGAACUUUUGUUUAAUUAUGUUAUGGAUGAACUUAUGUUUCUGCAAUACGAUAGACUACAUUUAUUAUAACAAUAAUUUUUAUUUCAAACAUAACUUAAAUGACUUACUUAACUUCAUAUAUGUAUUAUUAUCGCCACUUUAUGAUGUUGAAGACACUUGCCUGGCUGCAAAAAAUUAGUGAACAAUUUUUUUUAAAUAUAACAAUGAUGCUGUAUUAUGUUCGAAGAUUGCAUAAUAACGUGCUUUUAGGAUAUGAGAAAGUCAUUCAUUGUUGCUCUUGUUGAGACAGGUUGAAGCUAGGCCAGCACCUGUGCAUCCCACUAGGCAUAUUAAGUAUCGACAGGCUUUGCACUGAGGUUACAUCCCAAAUGGAUUUCCGAGGAAGAACCCUUGGGGUGCAGUCCGAGGGUCUCUCGCCUGUCUUUCCCUACCGCCAGCUUCUCAAGAGGAUUUCCAGCUCACCAGUAUUUUGAGUCUCUCCUUGCCACACAUCCAUUCCUUUCCUGAGAUUGAAUACGGACCCAUCAAUAUGGCAGUCAGCAUCACUAACCACUAUACCAUUUGGCCAGUUCAUAUUGAGUUUGUAUUGCUUAGCCCUCCUCCAAAUUAGAUCAUACUUCUUUAGAAGAACAAUAUAUAUUAAAGAAUAUGGUUCUUUCUAUUCAGAUUUCCCAGAAUAACACUACCUAUGUUUCACAUUUUCAGUCUUUCUAUUACUUAUCAACUCUAAUGUCAACAAAAAGUAAAACUUGCUUAUACAGUACUCAUUUCCAUCAUCUUCCAGUAAGUGGGAAAUUAUCUCCAUUAAUAUAGUUACCUAAUUUUUUUUUUAAAGUAUUAUUCAAAAAGAUGUAAUAAUAAUCGGAAAUAAUAUACUUUUCUGAAAAUGUAUAUUAUUUAUGAUAUUCAAACAUUUUUCUAAAAACAAUUUGUUUUUCAUUUUGGCAAGUGAGUUAUAUAAGUAUGAUUUCUAAGGCUUCAUUCAGACGACGGUUUUGCCAUCUUAAAGCUUUGUGGUUUAAGGAAUGAAAAUCAUUAAUGCAUACUUUUUAUUAGUGUUUAAGCCAUAGCUACUCAGGGAAUAGAAAGUUGUGCAUGCAUAAAUGUGUAGCUGACCAUGCAAAACCGGUGACCAAUCAUUGCUUUGCUGUGAUUGGUAGUUCUUAUAUCGUGUUGGCAUAAAGCUGAAAAGUUAAAGCUUUUAGGUAAAAUCCUUAAACCAGAUUUUGUGAUGUAGCAAAGUCUGGUUGCUUUGCAACAACGUUCAGCAUAGACCUUUUACGAUUUUAAAACUACCAUUUGAAUGAAUCUUAAAAAUGCACUUAUUUUCUCAUUUACCAUUCUUAAUAUUUCAUAUAAUCUAAGAAAAAUAAAUAAAUAACAAAUCAAAUUUUUUAUGUGAAAAAAAUGCUUUAAAAUAUGAUAGAAUUUUUCAUUUGCAUAAGAUAAUUUUUUAUUUAUUUAUUUAUUUAUUUAUUUAUUUUUUUUUAAUUUCAUAUGGGACUUUCAUGUGGAUUCUGUUGAAGUGAAAUUAAUUCUUUAAAGUCUGCAUGCAAAGUAUUGACUUGCAUUGUAUUUAUAUCUUAUUUUUUAUUAGUCAGCAAAGUCUUUGGUUUACAAGUUAUUCGAGCUGAAACUUUUUUUUGGUAUUAGAAUGGUAUUGUUAUUCCAUAUACCGAUUAAAAAAAGUAUCUGAACAAUUUUCAUGUUAAAGUUAUUGAUCUUUUUAUUUCUAUGUAACAAGCAUUUAUGAUAACUCUUCAUCACUUCCACUUAUCAUUCAUUGCAAUCUUUGAAUUGAUGCCUAGUGAUCUCAGAGUACAGCAAGUGCUAAUUUAGAGGUUGACAUUCUCUGAAACGUGAAAUUUCAGGAAAUGUACAUCAUUUUCAAAUAUAUUUUGAAAAUAUGUAGUCAAUAAUAUUAUGGAUGUAUUUAGUAAAAUAUGCAGUAAUUUUUUCUUAUUAAAUUACUAUAAUAAAAAGUGCUUGACAGACAUCACAGUCAAACAGAAAAUCAGCUGUAAUUAUAAUUACAUAGUUUUAAAGAUAUAUAUAUAUAUAUAAAGUUACUGUGAUACAUGGAUACAAGUGCAAAAUAUCAUAGUACUCAACUUCAUAAUGUGAAAUAAUUUAAGAAAAUAUUAAUUAGAAUGAGGAAAAAAUACAAUUGUGGUAAUCAUAAUGAUUAGAACCAUGUUUUUGUUUUCUAUGCAGUUUCUUUUUUGUUUGUUUUGUUACUUUGUUUUUUAUAUUUUGUACAUAAUUUUAUAUUUCCUUAUUAUUUUAGGAAUAGCAAAUUUUAAAAUAUGAAUGAGUGAAAUAUGAAAUUAUUAAUGAAAUUUUAAAAGUUUAAUACUUUCUUAAAGGUUUUAAGGUAUAGUUAACUUUAUAACACUUCUAAAUAUGAAAAAAAAAAAGUUGAUUUAAUGAAAUUUCAUUUUUUCUGUUUAAAAAAAUAAUGAUAAUUUUAAAUCAUAUAAUGCAUAUUUUAACUACAGAAUGUAUUUUCAUAAUGUUUUGAUUUUUUUAUAUAAGUAUUGAAAAUAAAGAAUAUGUGUAUGUGCAUUAAAAUGCCUUUUACAUGUUCAAUAUUUUGUAUAACAACUUAAAAAUUUUAUUGAUAAGGUACCUACCUAUACUAAGUUCAUGCUCGUUUUUACAAGCAUGGAAUUUUAAAUGAUAUCAUUGUUAUGUUGUAUUUAAAUAAUAUCAUAUAUAUGUAUAUAUUUUAUAACAUUUUUAUUAACUUUUGUGAUUUUAUGUGUAUGAUAGAAAAGUGAUUGAUUUAUUCUAUACUGUUAUUGAUGAAAACUUUGUUUACAUGCCGUAUUUCUAAGUAUUGUAAUAUGUUUUGUUUUAACAUUAAAUAUCUUGAGUUCUUUUUUAACUGCCUGUACAAUUUGCAAUCUCUGGAAGUUGAUAUCUAUUUAUGGAAUUGCCAAGUUUACUAAUAUUGUUUUUUUUUUUUUUUUUUUUUUUUUUUUUAAUGUAUACAUUCCCCUUCCCCAAAGUUAAGCAUAUGGCAGUAAAUUCGACGUUACUCUAUAAUGGACUCCAUGUUUCACAGACAUUCAGUGAAUAACCUAGUCAUGAAUAUGAUUACAUGAAUUAAUUUUAGAAAAGUGUAAAUUUAUGUAUAUUUUUGUAUUAUAUAUAUUAAUAUGUAUUAUAUUUUUUUUGGAUAUAUUAAAUCCCGAAAACUGUAUUGUGCAUUCUACAAAUAAGCUUUAACAUGGGAUAUGACCUCUUUGAUUAUGAUGUAAGCUUUUCUUCAAUAUUUCAUCCCUUCAGAUGAUUUAAUGUAGUAGGAACAAUUAUUUCAUUAGCUAUAGAAACACAGUUUGCAGUUGCUGGAGUGUAGUUGGAGGAAGCUGAUGAAUAGAGACAGAUCGUUUAAAGGAAGUUCAAGAGAUUUUCCACAGCAGUAGUUGCAUAUAUAGGAUACUAUGUCAUUUCACCUCAUAUUUCUUACAUUAAUAACUAAACACGGUGGUAAUAAUAUUGAAUUGUCAGAAAUAAAGUGUGAAUUACAGUUUA